rnacentral:lncRNA from 1 species
UCGUGGCCACUUAUCUCCAUUUCAACGGGACGAUUCUGGACCGCAGUGAUCACAGCCCCCCUUUCCCUCACUGAGACUUACCAGAAGGGACUCUGCACAGGGAAAGGCUCAUUGGUGGGGCUGCCUGGGAGAACUCCCAAGACACACAGGUGGAGCCUUUCCCGAAGGCCAAGUAUGGAGCAAUUAUCUCGCGUCUUCAUCCAUCAUCGGAAAUCCUAACUGAAGCUUUUGAGCCGAUUUCCAAAGCUUUAUGGACGCCCUUCCCUCUGGAGCUCCCUGGAGCUCCCUGGAGCUGUGCCUCGAGGGCUGUGAUUUACACAGGGGCUGAGGCUUGGGCCUGACUUGGUUCCAGAUCAUAGGGACUGUGACAAGCCUGAAGACCCUUCUCCCCAUCCCAGGAGGAGCCCAGGGACGCAAGCGAGAGCCUCUGCAAGUCACCCCAGCUGCCGCGUUUCCACCCAGGAGGAAGACGCACGUGGGGCGGCACGAGAGAUAGACGGAGGAUUGAAAGAAGCAGCCAGUGAGCCAGGUAAGAUGAGCCAGGACACACAAUGCUGACGGGUCAAGGAAGGUCAGUCCUGGGAGCUGACCACAGAUUGGACUGACCCAGAAGACAGUGCCAGCUCCCUGAGGAGGGGCAGCUGGGUGGAUGCAGUUGAAUGCCAAUCCCUCUUUUUGGUACCAGCACCUGGGUUUUCCUUGGGGAGAAUGCUGCUCCCUUAAUAUACACAUCUUGCCAAGCUGUCACUCAAGAGGCUCAGUUUCCCUUGGGUAAGGCAGGGAUGGGGGGCUCAGCUAAGACCAACAGUCUCUCCCUCCUGAAAUUCUCAUCUUUGACUGGCAUAAGACAAAACAAAACAAAACGACAAAAAAAAAGCCACAAAUUACCCCAGGAAGAGGCGCCGUGAAAAUACUACAUGCUCUUCCUCCUGUUCCCUGGGUUUGUUCUUCUUCCUCUUCCCAUUUCCUGUUUAUUCUAAGACUUCCACUUCAAUUCCUCUAUCCCCUGUGAUUCCAACGACCUGUCUUUGCAGAAGAGCUUUAAUCAGCUGGUCAGUUUCUAAGGCUUUCAUCCAAGGAACCCUCAUUGAUGUGAAACAACAAAGUGAGACUUCCAUCCUCGAAUGUGCAGCCAGGAAGUGGCAGAAAGGAGCUUUGCAUAAAUUUCUUCUCAUUUCAAAUCCUAUGCUCUUUCUCCCACACCUCAGCCAUUUGCCUUUAAAAUCAAUUGCAUCCUGAAGUGAAGAGCUUUGCAAGAACAGUGGUAUCAGAAACAACCAUACUCCCCCAGAGCAAACACAGCACCUCCCAUAACCCCUGGGACUUUUGCUUGGACUCGGGCAAGUGAGUAGACAGCUCGGAUGGGGCGAGCACCUGCUGGUUCAUCCACCAAAUAUGAACAUGGCCCAAGAGUGAGACCCCAAGACCCAAAAUUGCACCAAUGACUAUAGCUAUACAAGAAAAUGCCACUGGACAAAUUUUGCAGAGGUUUCUUUAUUGUUGCUGUUCUCAGCAAACCUGAGAAGUCAUUUCAGUUUGUCUCAGCUUUUGUAGAAGAACAAAAAGUUCAACAUUAAACCAUGUGUGUAAGUA